rnacentral:rRNA from 1 species
UACCAGCACCCCGAGUGGUCGGGACGAUUAUUGGGCCUAAAGCAUCCGUAGCCGGUUCUACAAGUCUUCCGUUAAAUCCACCUGCUUAACAGAUGGGCUGCGGAGGAUACUAUGGAGCUAGGAGGCGGGAGAGGCAAGCGGUACUCAGUGGGUAGGGGUAAAAUCCGUUGAUCCAUUGAAGACCACCAGUGGCGAAGGCGGCUUGCCAGAAUGCGCUCGACGGUGAGGGAUGAAAGCUGGGGGAGCAAACCGU